rnacentral:lncRNA from 1 species
GAAGGUGCCCCGCGCGGGCGAGCGAGCGGGUGCCCCCCUCGAGGCAGCGCAGCGAGCGCAGCCUCGCGGAUCCGCCCGUGCAUAGGCGGCGUGCAUCUUCCCCGCGCCAUCGCGCGAAAGUUCCGCGCGGUGGGACGAAAAACGGUUUGAAAGUUAUACGCGGAAAAAAAUGGAAGCUGCGGAGGCGUAUUUAAACGAAGUAGGCGGCGCCUCCGGCGACGAAUUUCGGAGGCAUCCUUUUUAGCGAGCCGCCAAGGAGAAACGCGUCUAAAUGACUCGUUGAUAAUCUGGGAGAAAUAAAUCGGACACGAAGUAAAUGGAAAAUGCCUAGUGACUGAUGACUUUUUUAUUUAUACGUUCAUACUGAAAAUUGCAUUUGUAUUUGAUCGUCUGAAAGGCAAUUCGAGCCACCUCGGUCGGACGGUGAAUAAUUUCGCGCGCGUAACGUAAAGUGCAUGAUCUAUUGCGCGUUUCGACAGUCAGUCCCGUGGAACUGAAAGUAUCCAGAUACCAAAUGUCAUCGGGAUAUGAGAUAUUACAGGGAACACGGCAGCCGUUCGCACGCGGGAAGCACCGAGCGCGGCGCGCGGAAUGCGAGGCGCGGAUUCUUGACUUCGCUUUUUAAAUUUUCGUGCGGGCUCACAAUGCCGCGCGGUUACGUAAUUGAAAAGCGUAGGAAGCACGCGGAUCGAUUAGCACACGAGAGGAGAAAGGUUGCGACCAUACGGAUAUCGGCGGUGGCUCUAUGCGAAUUGCGCGCGCGCGCGCGCGCGCGCUGAGCGGAGUCGCGCGGCGAGACCACGUGGGUGUCAUCACACGCGCGUGAAAAAAAACCCCCCGAGAGAUUAUAGACACGCGCUGUACUCUCUCUCUAACGCCUAGAGCAGUGAUUCUCAAAGGGCGCGUCUUGCGAACCUCGACGUCGCAGCGUCGCGAAACGGUCCGCGUUUAGUCCCUCGUGGACGCAAACCCUCGUCGCGCGGCGGGAAGGACAGGCACGACGUCCGCGAGGUAUCCCGCGAAAUAAUCCGCGCCUUCGGUUCGGGUGCACCGCGACUCUCCUCGCAGCGGACGAUAGUGCGCCGCGAGCGAAAAAAGUUUGAGAACCGUCGGCCUAAAGUGCAGGGGAGUGUAGGCACACCGCAAUAUCGCCAAGGGACGGUGCAUAAAGGAUCCCGAUAGCAAUGACUAUAAAUUCGCUCUAAGCGCGGGUCUAAAUAUAAACUACAACGUACGAGCGGCUCCAUGUUCCUCCCUAAGCAUAAAAAUCGCAUAUUUAUCCGAUUAUUAUUGGUAUCGCGCGGUCGCGAUCAUACGCUUUAUAUUCCGUCCGAUCUUGCGUCAACACAGCGCACCUGUCUCGCUUUAACGCUUCGUUAACGCCGGACGCUUCGUUGCGUCGAACUUCAUCCCGCGAAAAGUAAGCACGUAAAGAGAAUCCGUUAAUUAUUCGGUGCGCGUAAAAUCAUGCAUCGCAGAUUAACAUAAACAUACGAGGUUUUUUCAAGCACAUCGCUUUCGCGCAUAAACGAUCGCUUUUUCGCAACGAGUUACAUAAAUUUGACUAAAAACGAGACACGCGGCGUAAUAAUUAACGGCGUGUGUAAUGCAGACUCGAAAAAAAAAAAAAAAAACGAUUAAGCCGAAAAUGCGCAGUUCGCGUAGAAAUGCACUCGCGUAAAACUUGGAACACGUGCGUGUGUGAGUUUGCCUGGCGUAGCGGCCGAUACGCUAUAGUGAAUGUAAAACCGAGCGUAAAAACUGAAUAUUUAAAAGAUUAUAAACCAAGCCGAGGGAGGAUGCGGGGAGCAGUACCGCGCUAACUCGCUCAACCUGCAUACUGGCUGCCCUUUCGAUAAUACGAUUGAUCGCAAUCUCGAUGACGUGGCUAUCUCGUGCUAUGAUGCAGUUGUAAACGCGAAAACACUUUUGUAAAAAGUUCCUUGCAUUAAUUUCUCAUGCGAAUAACUUGGUAAACAAGCGGGCAAUUUGUAUUUCGAUUCGAGGAGUGCGAUGUUACACGUACGUACGAAUGUUUUAUGGAUUAUGAUGGCAGGAGAGGAGAUCAUUCUUCCUGAGAAUAUAAAAUAAGUUCUGCACGAGUGAACAAAAAUUAUUUUAUAUUUUCCAUUCGUUUACCGCGGGAUGCUUUCGCCUUUGGAACCACUUUUCCGGUGUUGUACACCAGUAUCCUAUUUUAUUUUAUUCUUUUUUAAAGAAUACAUAAAAAUGAGGAAGCAACAAUAAGCAGAAGAAAGCGACACGUCUGAAGAACCGUAAACCGUAAAGCAAACAGUGAAAAACAUUAUGCUCAGACAGCCGUCACUCACCUGAACGUUGAUUUAAAUCCGUUUCAUACAACAUUGUCAACUAAACGUAUCUGUCUCAUUGUGUUGAGUGACGUCCAUGACAAGUUUGAAUUUCGAGAAAUCAAUAGAACACACACAUACAUGGCAGUAUCUUUAAUAGUAAACCAAAAAGAGUCGAGAAAAAAGAAACUUAUUGUAUUUUAGAAAGAAUCCCUAAAAA